rnacentral:rRNA from 1 species
AUACGGAGGAUGCGAGCGUUAUCCGGAUUUAUUGGGUCUAAAGGGAGCGUAGGUGGGAAAUUAAGUCAGCUGUGAAAGUUUGGGGCUCAACCUUAAAAUUGCAGUUGAUACUGGUUUCCUUGAGUACGGUACAGGUGGGCGGAAUUCGUGGGGUAGCGGUGAAAUGCUUAGAUAUCACGAAGAACUCCGAUCGCGAAGGCAGCUCACCGGGCCGGAACUGACACUGAUGCUCGAAAGUGCGGGUAUCAAACAGGAUUAGAUACCCUGGUAGUCCGCACAGUAAACGAUGAAUACUCGCUGUUUGCGAUACACUGUAAGCGGCCAAGCGAAAGCGUUAAGUAUUCCACCUGGGGAGUACGCCGGCAACGGUGAAACUCAAAUGAAUUGACGGGG